rfam:Oryza sativa Japonica Group DNA, chromosome 3, cultivar: Nipponbare, complete sequence.
UGUAAGUACAGUUAUGAGUUUUCGUGUCCAACUUAGUUGAUUAUCAGUCUUAUUUGAAAUUUUUUUAUAAUUAGUAUUUUUAUUGAUAUGGGAUGACAAAACAUGAGUAGUACUUUAUGCGUGACUUAUGUUUUUAAAGUUUUCAAAAAAAAUUUAAAUAUGACGGACGAUCAAAGUUGGGCACGAAAAAUCAUAACUACGCUUAAA